ACUAACUCAAAUCACUUAGCAAUCUAACCAAACUCUAGUUCACCAAAUUGGUCAGGUAAGUGAGAUCAGUGGGAGAGUCAGCUAAGCUUGCCUUAGACACCAUCGAAAUGGUCAGGUAAGCCGCUCUCAAUUAAAAACCACUGAUCGAAAUGCCAAACUUACCUUAGAUACUAAUUGGUUAACUAGUUUUGAUUUGACCAA
rnacentral:lncRNA from 1 species